UAACCUGCCCAAGAGAUCGGGAUAACACCUGGAAACAGAUGCUAAUACCGGAUAAUAACAGAUGAUGCCUAUCAACUGUUUAAAAGAUGGUUCUGCUAUCACUCUUGGAUGGACCUGCGGUGCAUUAGCUAGUUGGUAGGGUAACGGCCUACCAAGGCGAUGAUGCAUAGCCGAGUUGAGAGACUGAUCGGCCACAUUGGGACUGAGACACGGCCCAAACUCCUACGGGAGGCAGCAGGA
rnacentral:rRNA from 1 species